GCCAUGGAACACUAAGAAGAAGAAGAAGAUCGUAUCGCAUACCCAGCCGCGGGAAAGACGGGACGGCAUAUCACGGUUUGCCUCGAAAAACUGUUUGCAACGACGAUGAGUUGGGACCAUUGCAGCGCUCCAGUUUUCUACCUCGCCGAUGCGACGGGAACGCGCGCCCUUCACGAGGAAACGCUGCGAAAUUUCUUUGUAUCUUACGUGCCAUCUGUCGACGGACUGGUGAGGCUAAACGCUGAUAAUGUGCUGUUGAACUGCCAGAUGGCAUCAUAAUGGUCUUUUAAAACUUAAAUUUGAAUAAUGAGAAAUGCGAUAUUGAAUAUAUUGAAAUUUAAAAUAUAAAGAAAUAAAUACUACACAAACAUUUUUGAUAGGUAC